ensembl:lncRNA novel transcript
UCCAAGGCGAGGUGGAGCAGGAGCGCAGGAGAUUUCCCCAGGCCACUCAGAACGGCCCACUUCAAAUGCGGAGAGAUACACCUGCAGUUUCUGAAUGGAUUUCUUCAACAAUGCCGCCUAAUUGACUCACAUUAAAAAUACUUUGAUCGACCCAUCUCUUUGUCACAUGAAGCUGGAAACACUAACAGAGGCUGUUGGAAAGAAAGGUCUGGUUCCGUGGCCAAAUACCUUGACUUUUCCAAAAACAGACUUUUUCUGUCUCUUCAGAAGAAGAAUUACAUGCAAUGGGAAGAUUGAUGUUCCUCUGUCAGAAAGCUACCUUGGAACAGGUGCUCCCAAUUAAUUUCCAUGAGCCACAUUUAUCCUGUGGUCAGAUAAUUAAAAAAAAAAUAACCUGGA